UACGUAGGGGGCGAGCGUUGUCCGGAUUUAUUGGGCGUAAAGAGCUCGUAGGUGGUUUGGUAAGUCGGAUGUGAAAUCUCCAGGCUCAACCUGGAGGGGUCAUUCGAUACUGCCAUGACUAGAGUUCGGUAGGGGAGUGUGGAAUUCCUGGUGGAGCGGUGAAAUACGCAGAUAUCAGGAAGAACACCAAUGGCGAAAGCAGCUCUCUGGGACGGUACUGACGCUGAGACGCGAAAGCGUGGGGAGCAAACAGG
rnacentral:rRNA from 1 species